GACGAACGCUGGCGGCGUGCUUAACACAUGCAAGUCGAACGAAGUGGCGAACGGGUGAGUAACGCGUAAUCAACCUGCCCUUCAGAGGGGGACAACAGUUGGAACCGACUGCUAAUACCGCAUACUGAAGGAGGGGAUUGCGUCUGAUUAGCUAGUUGGAGGGGUAACGGCCGACCAAGGCGAUGAUCAGUAGCCGGGCUGAGAUGAUGAACUGCCAAAUUGGGAAUGGGGCACGGCCCAGACUCCUAAGGGAGGCAGCAGGGGGGAAUCUUCCGACAUGGAGGAAAGUCUGACGGAGCAACGCCGCGUGAGUGAUAACGGCCUUCGGGUUGGAAAGGUCUGUUAAUCGGGACGCGUUACCGGAAUAGAAAGCAACGGCUAACUACGUGCCAGCAGCCGCGGUAAUAC
rnacentral:rRNA from 1 species